GACGAACGCUGGCGGCGUGGAUUAGGCAUGCAAGUCGAACGGUAUGGACCUUUCGGGGUUCAGAGAGUGGCGAACGGGUGAGUAACACGUAGGUAAUCUACCCUCAAGACGGGGACAACCCAGGGAAACUUGGGCUAAUACCGGAUGUGUGUAGUGGCUAUUUUUCUGAUUAUCAUUAUUUACGUAAGUGAGUAAUAAUAAGAAGGGAAAGUGGUUAUUACAUAAAAGGUGGCGUAAGCUGCCGCUUGGGGAUGAGCCUGCGUCCUAUUAGUUAGUUGGUGAGGUAACGGCUUACCAAGGCGAUGAUAGGUAGGCGGCCUUAACGGGGUGGUCGCCCACACUGGGAUUGAGAUACGGCCCAGACUCCUACGGGAGGCAGCAGUCGAGAAUAGUCUACAAUGGACGGAAGUCUGAUAGUGCGACGCCGCGUGAACGAAGAAUCCCUUCGGGGUGUAAAGUUCUUUUAUACGUGAGCAGUGUCCUUUAUAUUAAUAGUAUAAGGGGAGAGAUAUUAGCGUAUGAAUAAGCAACGGCUAA
rnacentral:rRNA from 1 species